rfam:Triticum aestivum genome assembly, contig: Triticum_aestivum_CS42_TGACv1_scaffold_408941_5BL
AUAAUACUCCCUCCGUCCGGAAUUACUUGUCAUCAAAAUGGAUGUGUCUAGAACUAAAAUACAUCUAGAUAAACCAUUUCAAUGACAAGUAUUUUCGGACGGAGGGAGUAGUAU